UAGUCACUUUCCUGUACAGACCUAGAACCC
rnacentral:piRNA from 1 species